GCAAGUUCAUCGGCCCCUUUUUGACCCCUUCCUUCCUCCCUUGCAGAAGGAGGUCUUGGCUGUCAGUCCCACUGAAUCCUCUCCCUUGCCCUUUUCUCUGGGUUUUACUGGAGGUUGGCUGGCCACAAACUUCCCACAAGUGUGAAGAAUGAAAGCCUGACACUCGGCCUGCCCUCUCCCGGCCUCCCGGGAAAAUCUGCAUUUUAAUGGCGAGGGGAUUAGCUGCCCCGGAACCUGAGCCACGCAGAGGAGGGAGUCUCCGGUGGCCCAGUUCUCAGCCUCAGGGGCAGGAGGUGGGGGUGUCAAGACGGCCCUGCCGGGGCCUCCUGGCUCCCACCCGGGGUCUCCGUAGGAUGGGCAGACUCUGUGGGGCCUGGCUUCUGAGGGCCGGGCCAGGCUCCAGGCUGGGCUCCAGGCAGAUCCCCGAGGUCUCUCGCCUCUUCCCCCGCAACACACACAGGGAUGGGCCCCCUCUCCAGCCUCUUCUGUGGAGCCUGGAUCCUCCCCAGUGCUGGCCCAGGACCCAGGGCCACCUCCCCUCCUGCCAGCUCAUUUCCCUGCACCGUCUGACCCUGGACCAGCUACGAGGGAGGAGAAGGCCACAGGAGCAGCUGGCCGGCCUCUGGGAGGUGGAAACAAGGUCCAGGCUGGGGGAGCAGAGCGAGUAGCCCCUGGCAGCAUUCUGGAGCAAUUUCUGAAUUACCUACUGGCUGGAGACCAGAGGCCAGAGCGGGCCUGGGCUGGCCCUGCUGGCUGAGGCCCUCUAGGAGCCUUCCUCUUGGCUCCGAGGCCUCCCUACCUCCUGCCCUCCAGCGUCCGCUCCUCUCUGCAGCCUCCUCCAAUGAAACACAGAUUCCAUCUGGCCAAAGUCAAGAGGAGGCCUCUGCAGUUUCUCCACCUUUGUCGGCGGUGCUUCCGGGAGGAGGAUGGACUGGCUGCUCCACCACCCUCGCGUUCUGUUUCCCAGAUAGGAAGGUCCUUUGUGUAUAAACGUGCUCUCCCUCAGGCAUGACUGGCUACAUAAUUUGUGGGGCCAUUUGUUAACAAAUCGUUAAGAAUUUUAAUCCGGUGACAACAGAGCAUGACACAAGCCCCA
rnacentral:lncRNA from 1 species